CGGGUUGAUUCGAUUCUGCCGGCGUCGUUUCCGGUUCGGAGUGGUCUGUGACUGGUGUUGACGAGAAGGGCGCAGAUGAUGGAGGUUGGUCUGUGACUGGUGUUCGAAGUGGUCUGUGACUGGUGUUGGCGAUGGUGCCUUUGGUGUUGACGAGAAGGGCGCAGAUGAUGGAGGUUGGUUCGUAGAUGUAGCAACACAGAAACAGGGACUUUAACCAUUUGGUUUUAUUUUGC
rnacentral:lncRNA from 1 species